AAGCCGCGCCUCGCCGGACGGCUGAGGGCGGGCGACGGGCGGCGCCGGCUGACGGGCCGCAACGCGAGGGGAGGUCCGGCGGCCCGGGGCGCCCUGCGACUGCCCGAGGCCGGAGGCCCGGAGGACCCGCCGCCGCCUUUGUGUCGCCGGCCCCCGCCCCGCUGGACUGGCCCGGGCCGGGGCGGUUGGGCCGGCGCUGAAGGGGCUUGGCCGCCCGGGUCCACCCGUUCCCGGAUCCGCCUCGCCGGCCCCCGCGCCCGCCCAACCCCUGCCCAGCCCCUCGGCUCCGCGAGUUUGGGUGAGAAGUGCGGCGGCUUUUCCCAGGGAUGGAGUUUAGAGGACGCUAAUCCUAUGUGUGAGCGGCGGACCCCGCCCGGACUUCCCGGAGGCGCCCGGUUAGUGAGGCGACGGCGCCCACCCGCGUUCGCGGGCUCCCGGCCGCCACUCCCCGGAGCCGCCGGCCCGCCCCAGCCCCGCGCGUCGCCCGGGAGGGCGGGCUGCACUCCCUCCACGUACCUGGCUGGCAGAGCGUCUCCAGGGACAAAAGGUGCCCUGGGAUCAAAGCCGAGCCCCCGCCCCCGCGGGGAUGCUGCCCUCCGGAAGGAGGGGCGCUGCCCCCAAGGUACUCUCCCCGGGCACCCAGGGGGAGGUUCCAUUUCAACCUCCGAUGAAAAACACGGCCCUCCCGGGUACUUAGGAGGGUCUGAGGGUAAGUGCCAAGAUGGAGAAAACACGCCGGCCCCUCACAGAGUAUCUCCUGAGGAAUGAGAACUAUCUAGCGGGCAAGGAGGGCUUCCUGCAUAGCAGAGGGCACCCCCUCUGAUCCCCCAAGGCCAAGGGAAAAAAAUCACUCUUCACCGGCGCCCCUGAGCCAGGACAGGCUCCAGUGCAGCCACCCACCUUAUAAUUUUCCGCGGAUGCUGCCUUGAUCAGAUGUCUGAAGAUGACUUUAAGGACUACAAGCAAAUCUCAAGGGAAAAAUUCAGACCUUGAACAACAGCCUUGAACUUUUUCAGGGUUAGACAAGUACUCCCCAGUGGAGUUUCUGCCCUUAUUUCUUCGUUCUUCUCUUAAUUCUUCCAUAUUUUAACAGAACACAGACCUGCCGAAACGACACAGGAUGGCUCUUUGCUUUUUGUUAGUUCUCCAACCUUCCAAACCCUUGGGGCACAUGCAAGCACUGUGGAAAAACUUCAUUAAACCAAGAGUCAUCUUACUCCAGAUCCCAGACUGCUUGGGAAGUUGGACAUGCAUAUUCCCAAAGAGAACAGUGUUGGAAGAAGACAGGAGAGCAGCUCGCGGGUUGGGGGUAGAGGGUAGGAAAAGAGGGCAAGAUGGAGGACUACCACUCGAGGCCAGCCUCCACUGCCUGUUAGGGCGGUAGAACCUAAGAGCCGGUCCAAGGCAACACAAAAGACAGUGAGGCUAGGUCUUUAAUUGCAGCCAACGAUCAAGAAAGCAACUCCAUCAAAUGACACUGUCUUUUUAAAAAAAAUUUUUUUUUUUUGAGACAGAGUCUCGCUCUGUCGCCCAGGCUGGAGUGCAGUGGUGCGAUCUUGGCUCACUGCAACCUCUGCCACCCGGGUUCAAGCAGUUCUCCCUGCCUCAGCCUCCUGAGUAGCCGGGAUUACAGGCACGCGCUACCAGGCCCGGCUAAUUUUUUUUUUUUUUCUUUUUUGGUAGAAUCGAGGUUUUGCCAUGUUGGCCACGUUGGUCUCGAAUUCCUGACCUCAGUUGAUCCGCCCAUCUCAGCCUCCCAAAGUGCUGGGAUUUCAAGCGUUAGCCACCGCACUCGACCAAAUGACACUGUCUUAAAUGAUUUAAUGUCUUAAAUCGGGAAAGGAGAGUAAGAGAAAGCACUCAAUGGAGUCAGAGGUGUCUUGCAGCCUAGCUCUUUCCACAGACAAGCCACAUGGGCCUAUCAUCUAACCUUUUCAAACUUCUCCAACUGCUUCUGUGAUGGAGGGAUUUGGGCUAGAGGAUCUUUUUAUUUUAUUUUAUUUUAUUUUAUUUUGGUGACAGAGUCUCACACUGUCGCCCGGGCUGAAGUGCAGUGGCACAAUCUCAGCUUGCUGCAACCUCUUUCUCCUGGGUUCAUGCGAUUCUCCCGCCUCAGCCUCCCAACUAGCUGGGAUUACAGGCGCACACCACCACACCUGGCUUAUUUUUUGUGUUUUUAGUAGAGACGGAGUUUCACUAUGUUGGCCAGACUGGUCUCGAACUCCUGACCUCGUGAUCCGCCCACCUCGGCCUCCCAAAGUGCUGUGAUUACAGGCAUGAGCCACCGCGCCUGGCCGAUGAUCCCAUUUUUCAAAGUAGGCUGGGUGCGGUAGCUCACGCCUGUAAUCCCAGCACUCUGGGAGGCUAAGGCGGGUGGAUCACUUGAGGCCAGCAGUUCGAGACCAGCCUGGCCAACAUGGUGAAACCCCGUGUCUACUAAAAAUACAAAAAUUAGCUCGGCAUAGUGGUACGUACCUGUACUUUCAGCUACUUGGGAGGUUGAGACAGGAGAAUUUUGCUUGAACCCAGGAGGCGGAGGUUGCAGUGAGCCAAGAUGGCACCACUGCACUCCAUUCUGGGUGACAGAGUGAGACCCUGUCUCAAAAAUAAUGAUAAUAAAAUAAAAGUAAUUAUUUAAGGCUGGGAGCGGUGGCUCACGCCUGUAAUCACAGCAUUUUGGGAGGCCGAGGCGGUGGAUCAUGAGGUCAGGAGGUCGAGACCAUCCUGUCUUAACACGGUGAAACCCUGUCUCUACUAAAAAUACAAAAAAAUUAGCCAGGCGUGGUGGCGGGCGCCUGUAGUCCCAGCUACUCGGGAGGCUAAGGCAGGAGAAUCGCUUGAACCCAGGAGGCGGAGGUUGCAGUGAGCCGAGAUCACACCACUGCACUCCAGCCUGGGUGACAGAGCGAGACUCCGUCUCAAAAAAAAUAAUUAUUAUUUAAAAUAAUCAUUGGGCCUGGCGCGGUGGCUCACACCUGUAAUCCUAGCACUUUGGGAGGCCAAGGCGGGUGGAUCACGAGGUCAGGAGAUUGAGAUCCAGCCUGGCCAACAUGGUGAAACCCCAUCUCUGCUAAAAAUAUUUUUUAAAUUAGCUGAGCGUGGUGGUGGGCACCUGUAAUCCCAGCUAGUCGGGAGACUGAGGCAGGAGAAUCGCUUGAACCUGGGAGUCGAAGGUUGCAGUGAGCCGAGGUCGUGCCACUGCAGUCCACCUGGCCAACACAGCAGGCCUCUCUCUAAAAUAAUAAUUAUUAUUAUUGUUAUUCUUGACAGGCCAGUGUAGAACAGGUGGGGCAUCUGUGGUAUGACAGAACUGGGUUCCAAUUCUGUCCCUUCACCUGUCCCAGGUUCCUCAUCUGAAAACUGUGACCCAGUAAACCUAAUUUCAUGAGCAGCUUUCAUUAAAAUUGAAAUAAUGUUGGAAAAUGCCUUGUAACCGUGCUUGAUAUAGAGUAGUUACUUAGCCAGUUAUUUCCUCUCUUCUUCCAAUUCCUAACAAAAUGGAAAAACGUUUGGUUGCUAGGAAAGAGCUCUAAGGGGAUUUUGUUGUUGUUUGAGACAAAGUUUGGCUCUAUCGCCCAGGAUGGAGUGCAAUGGCACAAUCUCUGCUCACUGCAACCUCCGCCAUAGACAGGAGCCAAGCAUAGUGGCGUGCACCUGUCUGUAGUUCCAGCCUCUUAGGAGGCUGAGGCAGGAGGGUUGCUUGAGGCCAGGAGUUUGAGUCUAGCUUGGGCAAUAUAUUGAAACCUUGUCUCUUAAAAAAAAAAAAAAAAGAGGCCAGGUGUAGUGGCUCACGCCUGUAAUCCCAGCACAUUGGGAGGCCGAGGCAGUGGAUCACUUGACCCCAGGAGUUGGAGACCAGCCUGGGCAACAUGCAAACUUCCGUCUUCUAGGCCGGGCGCGGUGGCUCAACACCUGUAAUACCAGCACUUUGGUAGGCCGAGGCGGGCAGAUCACGAGGUCAGGAGAUCGAGACCAUCCUGGCUAAGGUGAAACCCAGUCUCUACUAAAAAUAAAAAAAAAAUUAGCCGGGUGUGGUGGCUGGCACCUGUAGUCCCGGCUACUUGGGAGGCUGAGGCAGGAGAAUGGCAUGAACCCAGGAGGUGGAGCUUGCAGUAAGCCGAGACCGCACCACUGCACUCCAGCCCAGGCAACAGAGCUAGACGCCCUCUCAAAUAAAAGUAAAUAAAUAAAUAAAAUUAUGUCAUUAAAAAAAAAUACAGGGCCGGGCGCGGUGGCUCAUGCUUGUAAUCCCAGCACUUUGGGAGGGUGAAGCGGGUGAAUCACGAGGUCAGGAGAUGGAGAGCAUCCUGGCUAACACAGUGAAACCCCGUCUCUACUAAAAAUACAAAAAAUUAGCCGGGCAAGGCAGCGUGUGUCUGUAGUCCCAGCUGCUGGGGAGGCUGAGGCAGGAGAAUGGCAUGAACCCAGGAGGCAGAGCUUGCAGUGAGCCAAGAUCCCGCCACUGCACUCCAGCCUGGGCGACAGAGCGAGACUCGGUCUCAAAAAAUAAUAAUUAACAAAAAAAAAUACAAAAGUUAGAUGCGCAUGUUGCCAUAUGCUCGUGGUCCCAGCUACUCGGCAAGCUGAGGUUGGGAGAUCACUUGAGCCCAGAAGGUGGAGGUUGCAGUGAGCUGAGAACCCACCAUUGUACUCCAGCCUGCGUGUCAGUGAGAUUCUGUCUCAAAAAAAAGAAAAGAAAAAAAAUCUAGGCUAUGCUCCCUAGUAUGGGAAAUCUAGUCUAGUCAUUUGGCAGAAUCAGGCUUUGCGGGCCAUAUUGUCUCUGUCGUAACUACCAACUCUGCUGGUUAAAAGGGAAGUAGCCACAAACAAUGUCUGAAUGAUGGAUUAUGGCUGUGUUCCAAUAAAACUUUAUUUGCAAAAACAGGUUGCUGGUUGCAAGGUAGUUUUCCAACCUCUACGUGAUUCUCAGACUUUAGGUUGCAUCAUAAUCACCUGGAGGGCUUGUUCAAACGCAGAUUGCUGGGCCCCACCCCCAGAAUUUUUUAUUCAGCCAGUCUGGGGUGGGGCUGAUAUUUGUAUGUCUAACAACUUUCCAGGUGAGGCUGGUUGAUGAUGGUCUGGAAACCACUUUGAAAACCUCUGAAGCUUUUCUCAACUCCCUUUGUGUACCUAAAACACUUUAUCCCUACUGUAGAUGUAGUAUUUAGCGUGUUAUAUUAGUUUAGUGAUUGGUGUGUGGGUCUCUGGGAGCCUUUCUGAAUCACCUCCCUAGCCUAGUGCCUGACAAUAGCAAUUUGCUCCCCAUUCAUUGACUGAACUGAAACCAGAGGGUCAUGGUCAUCAUCAUUGUUCCAAGCCAUAGAUAGAAGAUGAAGUCACCACCCCCGAUCUCAGAGCUCAUCAGAGUAGAGCUUGGGCUGGACUAUGCCCUUCUCUGCAGUGAGCAGUUUUCUCUGUGGAGCUCUGCAACCUGGAGCCAGCCCUGCCUGGGGUAAGAGGAAAAAGGACUCCUUCCCCCCAGCCCCACAGCCUGUACGCAAACACACCAGGAGACAUGACCUGCUCAGAGGAGACCUGGAACCAAGGGAAUAAAAUGAGAGUGGGUUGGGGGCUUGGCUGUUUGUUAUUUUUUUGCUUGUAAGUGGACAAUUUGUGGUGUGGUGUGUGAAUUUGGGGUCUUAAAUCCAGAUAGCUGUCUGCUGUGGACAGCCACUGUUUCUGAAUUACAGGGCAUUUCAAGUGACCUGUGGUCAGGAUGUUUUCUCUCAGAUCAGGCAAAAUCAAUUGGUCCUGAUAAUAACCAGGGGAGUUGUACUUUCCCUAUCUUGAGUAGAAGACACAGCUCCCAGGUCCACCUGUCUCUCCUGACUGCCCACCUCCUGGCUUUUUUUUUUUUUUUGAGACGGGGUCUUGCUCCGUCGCCUAGGCUGGAGUGCAGUGGUGCGAUCUCAGCUCACUGCAACCUGGGCCUCCUGGAUUCAAGAGAUUCUCCUGCUUCAGCCUAGCAAGGAGCUGGGAUUACAGACGCGUGCCACCUCGCCCAGCUAAUUUUUUUUAUUUUUAGUAGAGACGGGGUUUCACCGUGUUAGCCAGGAUGCUCUCGAUCUCCCGACCUCGUGAUCCACCCACCUUGGCCUCCCAAAGUGCUGGGAUUACAGGCAUGAGCCACCGUGCCCGGCCAGCCUCCUGGCUUUUAUCCUGGGGGCACUGCAAGUAGAGCCAGGCAUGUGGCCCAUGCAUCCUUCCCAGCCUCUCUUUCCUGCUGGGCAUGGAGGAGGAGGCACUGCCAGGAGCUCCCCACAGACAGGCGCUGCUUACUAAUGGGUUGGCUGCAAACUGUAGGCAUAACAGUUACCUUCCUCUUCAC
rnacentral:lncRNA from 1 species